UACAGAGGGUGCGAGCGUUAAUCGGAAUUACCGGGCGUAAAGCGUGCGUAGACGGUAGCGUAAGUCAGAUGUGAAAGCCCCGGGCUCAACCUGGGAACUGCAUUUGAGACUGCUCUGCUCGGGUGCGGAAGAGGGAAGCGGAAUUUCCGGUGUAGCGGUGAAAUGCGUAGAUAUCGGAAGGAACACCAGUGGCGAAAGCGGCUUCCUGGUCCGACACCGACGUUCAGGCACGAAAGCGUGGGGAGCAAACAGG
rnacentral:rRNA from 1 species